rnacentral:rRNA from 1 species
AUUGAACGCUGGUGGCAUGCUUUACACAUGCAAGUCGAACGGCAGCGCGGGCUUCGGCCUGGCGGCGAGUGGCGAACGGGUGAGUAAUGCAUCGGAACGUGCCCAGUAGUGGGGGAUAGCCCGGCGAAAGCCGGAUUAAUACCGCAUACGACCUGAGGGUGAAAGCGGGGGACCGAAAGGCCUCGCGCUAUUGGAGCGGCCGAUGUCGGAUUAGCUAGUUGGUGGGGUAAAGGCUUACCAAGGCGACGAUCCGUAGCUGGUCUGAGAGGACGACCAGCCACACUGGGACUGAGACACGGCCCAGACUCCUACGGGAGGCAGCAGUGGGGAAUUUUGGACAAAGGGGGCAACCCUGAUCCAGCCAUGCCGCGUGCGGGAAGAAGGCCUUCGGGUUGUAAACCGCUUUUGUUCGGGAAGAAAUCCUCUGGGCUAAUACCCCGGGGGGAUGACGGUACCGGAAGAAUAAGCACCGGCUAACUACGUG